AAUGAACGUUGGCGGCAUGGAUUAGGCAUGCAAGUCGAGCGAGAAGUGUAGCAAUACACGGAAAGCGGCGGAAGGGAGAGUAAUACGUGGGAAUCUGCCCUUAGACCUGGGAUAGCAGCGGGAAACUGCUGGUAAUACCAGAUAAUGUCUAUGGACCAAAGGUGUGAUUCCGUCUAGGGAUGAGCCCACGUCCUAUUAGCUAGUUGGUAGGGUAAUGGCCUACCAAGGCGAUGAUGGGUAGCGGGUGUGAGAGCAUGACCCGCCUCACUGGGACUGAGACACUGCCCAGAAACCUACGGGUGGCUGCAGUCGAGAAUCUUCGGCAAUGGGCGCAAGCCUGACCGAGCGAUGCCGCGUGCGGGAUGAAGGCCUUCGGGUUGUAAACCGCUGUCGAGGGGGAGCAACUUCCAUAGAGUUAUCUUUAUGGAUUGAGUGAUCCCUGGAGGAAGGACGGGCUAAGUUCGUGCCAGCCGCCGCAGUAAGAC
rnacentral:rRNA from 1 species